rnacentral:rRNA from 1 species
AGUCCUGGGUGGCACAGCGAAAGCGUUAACUAUUCCACCUGGGGAGUACGCCGGCAACGGUGAAACUCAAAGGAAUUGACGGGGGCCCGCACAAGCGGAGGAACAUGUGGUUUAAUUCGAUGAUACGCGAGGAACCUUACCCGGGCUCAAACGCGAUAGGAAGGUUCGUGAAAGCGAGCUGCCUUUCGGGACAUGUCACGAGGUGCUGCAUGGUUGUCGUCAGCUCGUGCCGUGAGGUGUCGGCUUAAGUGCCAUAACGAGCGCAACCCCUCUCGCCAGUUGCCAUCAAGUGAAGCCGAGCACUCUGUCGACACUGCCGCCGCAAGGUGUGAGGAAGGCGGGGAUGACGUCAAAUCAGCACAGCCCUUACGUCCGGGGCGACACACGUGUUACAAUGGCGCAUACAGAGAGAGGCCCAGGGGCAAGUCAGACCGGAUCCAGAAAGCCCCCCUCAGUUCGGAUUGGAGUCUGCAACCCGACUCCAUGAAGCUGGAUUCGCUAGUAAUCGCGCAUCAGCCACGGCGCGGUGAAUACGUUCCCGGGCCUUGUACACACCGCCCGUCAAGCCAUGGGAGCCGGGAGUGCCUGAAGUGCGUGAGCGCGAGCAGCGCCCUAGGGUAAAACCGGUGACUGGGGCUAAGUCGUAACAAGGUACC